GAAAAACAAAGCUCCAAGAUGGCACGAACAACUCCAGUGCUGGUGUCUGAAUUUCAGGGGCCGGGUGACAGUCGCAUCAGUGAAGAACUUCCAGCUGGUGGCUUCGCAAGAGAAUGUAUCAGCUGGUCAAGAACAAGGCGAGGUGGUGCUCCAAUUUGGAAAAGUGGGGAAGGACUUGUUCACUAUGGAUUACCGAUAUCCGUUAUCAGCUUUCCAGGCGUUUGCUUUCUGUCUCAGUAGUUUCGAUACCAAGAUAGCUUGCGAGUAAAGGGGUUUUUA
rnacentral:misc_RNA from 1 species